AAAGUGAGAAGACCAUUUGUAAGGGUUAUUCUUGGUGGUCAACUUGAUUACAUCUUGAAUUAACUAAAAUCCAAGUAGCUGGGUACACCUGUGUGGAAGUUUUCUUAAAUAAAUCAUUUAAAGUGGGAUCUAUUGAGGUAUAAAUGUCCGUCUUAAAUCUGGGCCACAGCUUCUGGUGGUAGCCUAUAUAGAAGACACUGAAGAAGGAAGUUUUUUCCUUAUCUGUUUGCCUUUAUUGUCACUGUCAAGGCAAUUCCUUCACUGGCCUUCGUACCUACUUCUGGAUUCUGGCACAUGCUAAAGGCCAUCAUUGCUGGAUUAGCUGGGGAAUAUUCGGCUUCUGGUUUCCCUCUCCUUCCUGAAUACACAUGUGUUUCGCCUGUGUCAUACAGAAUAUGUGAAGCAACAGGGUACUUUUAAUGGGCCGAGCUCCUUGAUCACUGGUGUACUCCAGCAUCUAUCUGAAUGCUGGCAUACAAGUCAAUCAGUUUUUAUUCCACCAUUAAUGCCUUCUUUGAUCAUUUUGCAAAUUGUUUCCAGAGAGAACAUUUACAAAUUCACAUGACUUUACUUCUUGGCUUACAAUCCUCAAAAGCCAUCCAUUAUGCUCAAAGUCAUGGCGCUUUGUACCUGUUAGCCCUACAGAGACAGAACCCUUAAAAUUCUUCAACAUUGUGCAAGUUUCUCUACACAGCCCAACCACCGUGGCCUCUGUGAUAACAUUGAGGACAUUCUCUUUCCAUCUAUGCAGUUAGUAUUCAUUGUGAAUAGACAAUGUUUCUUAAACUAGCAUGGUCCUGGGCCUUUACUUCAUGAAAGUAAUGCUCAAAAGUCAAUUGAUUGGAGCUUGGCUACUUGCUUAUUGUCAGAUAGGCACCUUUUUACUGUUUUUCUAAAUUUUUUGUCAGGAUUUAUUUUUCCCUCAGGAAGAUUACACUAGUAUGUAUUGUAUAGGUCACUGUGUAUGCUGGUGUUACUAACAUGAUUUAAUUUUUAUAUGGUAAGAUGUCAUUCUUUACUGAAGUAAAGUAGAUGGUGAAUAAAGCUUCAAAAAUAUUAUAUAAUCCUGGGAGACUUCUGGAUCAGAGAGGAUAGUGGUGGGGACACAGAGUAGGACUCUGGUGAUGUCUUAAAGUCUGAGGGUGUCUGGACAUUCUAGCUCUCUAACUGUACUGAGAUGCUGAUGAUAACUUCUAAAAAGUCCUAAAAACUUUCUUGCUCUUUCUGAGGGUAAAAGACUGCUUGCUGGCUUAGGUGAUUGAUACCUGUAGCCAAACAGCGGGAGAUUAAGUUCUAUCUCAGCAGGGAACUACACAGCUCUAACUUACAGCCUGCUAGUCAGAAGUUUCAGGAAGAAAAAGGGACACUUUGAAAAGUAAUUAUAGUGUUUAUUACUAAAUUGUAAAAAAAUUUCCUAUGAAAGCUAUCUAAGUGGAAAGAUCCUAAGCAAGGAAAGGGAAAAAUUCUUCUAAGUGGGGAAAGGGAAAAAAUUCUUCUCUAAGCAGAGAAAAGCAACAAAUUCUAGUAAGGGAAAAACUACUCUUGUAUCUCAUCCCUUUGUACUCAGUACUUGUACAUCUUUCAGAAAACAUGAUCACAUGCUACGAAGUUCAUUGCAAGUUCACAUAAAAAUAUCAAAUCAUAAAUUGAAAUAGAAGUUUACAACAGAGAAUGUUUACAUGCCCAUCUAUUAGGAAUAAUUAUCUGGCUAAACAUCCAUCACCUGUCACAACUCCCCAGGUUCACAGAAGGUUUAAAACCAUAACUAAGUUAUUAGUGAAGUUUUGUGUCACUAAAUCCAGUCAAUAGUUUAUCUUCUGUCCUAGUACCUUUAAUAAUUCCUUAGUUCCCUUUUUAUGACCUUUGGUUAAUCAUUUUACAACCUCUUGGAAUUUACUCAGAGUAGGAGAAAGUCUGGUUUCUAUCUAAGCAAUUCACUGGUGACACUUGGGAGAGUGGCAGAAUUCUCACUGCAGUUUUGACUAACAGAAAAAGACCUAAUAGAAGCCCCACUAUAAAAGAGCUUAAUAAUCAUUGAUACAAUUUUAGGAAUUCUUAUAGGAUUAUCAUUAUGACUUAAGAAGUCUUCUAUUUGUCUAUAUAGCAUCACUACAAGACAGUACAUCUCCGUAGAUCUGCAGAGAUCUGCUCUGAAGGGGGUGGGCUUAGUGAUUGUUAUGUAUGUUUAAUAAUAACAGGAAAAACAUAUUAAUAGCAGGAAUCUUCUCUAAGUGAAUUCUCCUAGGGCCUUACCUAUUAAGAGUGAACUUGUCACAGCCUAUAUAAUAAUCUGUAGCAGGCCAUCUCAGGAAGAUCACCUGCUGGUAAUUAGCUAGUCCCAUUAGGCUCCUGACAUCUCUUCCCUUUGAAUAAUAUACAUGGAGCAUAUAAUUCUCCCUUUGAGCAGAACUGACAGCAGAUCCUAACUGCUUGAAGAUGACUGGAAGAUAAAACAGAAGCAGAAUAACUAAUCCUAUAAUAAUUCCCAAAUUUAUAAGAAAACUCCAUAAAGAAUUAUCUUUAACAAAAUUUAUGAUCGAACUUGAAAAAUGAUCAGCCAAUUCUGCUGCCGAAGAACUCUUCAGUCUGGAGUGACUGGGGGCACUGAUCUGGGAAUGUAGGUAUCCAUAUCAACAGCAAGUUGGGAAUUGUUCCACACACCAUGUAGCUGUGCUUGUAUCUGUUUCUAGGACUUUUCUGACCCAUCGGAGAUAGAGGAGUGACACAAAUCUAUUUAUAAUUGGCAUAAUAUGAGGUAGUUAAACGUGUUUUAAUAUUUUGAACCUGAGUUCCUAUGCAAAAGAUGGCUUCCUCUAAAGCACUGAUUCUAUCUCUCAAACCUCUAUCAAUCCUAUCCUCAGUAAUCAGUGCUGAAGAAAUAAUUUCUAUUAAAGAAUUAUAUGAUUAGCAUUGUGUACCUGCUGGACUAGAGAAGCAGCAGAAGCUGCAACUGACCCUAAGAUAGCAAUUAAGAUUGUAAUGUCUAAGAUUACUUCAGCUAUAAAUUUCUUAUGUCAUGAAAGAGAUUAGCAGGCUGUAUCAAGGCAAGCAAAGCAGAAGCAUUACCUUAGGGAUGUGAGAAAGUAAUUGGUAACAAAACAUAAGGUAGCCAGUAUACAAUGAGAAAAAGCAGUAUGACACCUGGUGAAGUUAUACAAUUGGUCAAAUAGCAUUCUGGUCGGAAAUGAUACAUAUAGAUUUAUAUGUAACAAUUUUAUAUUCCCUUUUAUCUCCUGGGUAUAGGAUUAAAAGUCCAAUCAGAUGCUGUCAGGGACCAUGUCUUCAGUGUCUUCUUUUGCUGGGGUCUCUGGCAUGGGUGGAGAGUCUGCAGAUGAUGAUGACUGACCUGGACUUGAAGGAAGUGGCAGGUCACAAGAUGUCAACUCUUUCUACUGACAUCAGAAGAGCAAGACAGCAAAUGCAGAGGAUGAAUGUUCGGUUGAAUCAUGGUGGGCUCAAGCACUUAUUUGCAAUUAUUCAGGGGAUACAUGGGGAAGUCAUAUUACUCUUUGCCUUAGCCAGUGUGCUCAAGGCAAGAUGAUGCUAUCAAAUGAUGGCUAGCAUUUGUACUUGCAUAGAGCCUAAAUGAAGAAUAUCCAAAGCCAGAGGGAAGACCCACCAGAUCGCUGUAGUUAAAUUAUACCACUUAACAAUAUUUGUUCAUAUCCAGAAGUAUCAAAACAAACACAUAUAAAAGACAAACAAACUGGAUGAACAAUGCUGGCCCAGCAAGGCUUCCCAAGCCUUAUUUCCUCAUGAGCCACUGUUUUGACAUCAGACGCAUGACCUAAAUUCUGCCAUCACAUGGAGCCCUGUAGAAAACCAAAUAUAUAAACUCAGACAAGAUCAAAUAAAAACAUGGUCGUGCACUCUGUUAACUCAUGGAAGCAUCCGACAGAGGUUGAACUACAACCAGAGUUUGUUUUCUUUCAACAAAAGCCGAAAGAAGCGUAGACCGACAAGACAAAGUUCUCUUGCCUUUCUUCCUCUGCGUCCCCAAAUCAAAAACCAUAAAGGUGAGACUUUAACCCUUCAAGAGGCUGCCAUUAUGUUAUUCCUGGAUGCAACCUUGUUAAUCUACCUAUGUGGCUCUCCUGUGCAGUAAGCUUAAUUUUUAUUUUCACAGCUAGACUGCACACAUUCUGUCUGGGACAGAAAUAUGAUUUCAAUUACAUUAAUGAUAUUAUACCUCUCUCAUGAAACAAAAGUGGGCAAAACUCUGACCUCUAUUUCUUUUCUGUGAGUUAUGGAUGCUUUUAUUAGAAUGGGAUCAUGUGGUUAUAGAUAUGUAUCUUCCUUUUUACCAGGCUAUUUCAUUAGACUUUGAGAUGAACCUCUGCACUUGUAGGAGUAGGGAACAAUGUGGGUUGCUCAAAUUCACAAUACAGAGGUUUGUAAUGUAAAUUUACAAGUGACCCAUGCCUCACAAAAAUGGGUAUAUAGAUCCUCAGCAGGGUACCUCUAUAAAUAAAAUAUAUCCAGUCUCCAGCACAAAUAUGAGACACUACACUAACUGCUUGCAACUCAGUUUGAAAGUUCUCACCUUACCAAGAAUAAAAACAACUCAGCUUCAUAGAAAGGGCAUGGAUAUUAAAAUGGUAGGACAGUGAAAUAUUUCAAUCCUAUUAUUAUAAAAAUAGUUCAAAUGGUGGGAAAUCUUGAGAGAAAUGAAAGAUACAGUGAGGAAUCAAGUAGGCAAGGUGCAUAUGACCCUGCAGAGACUGAAGCACAAAGUACAGUACCUACAUGAGUCUGUACCAGGUCCUUUGCAUACGUAUUAUGGCUUUUAGGUUAGUACUUUUAUAGGAAUCCUUAAGUGUGAGAAUAAGUGGGCUUCUGACUCCUGUGCCAGCUCUGGUGAAUCUUUUCAUCCUGAUAAGUUGCCAUGUCCAACUUUGGUAUGAUAGACUUUGUUUCAUUUUAUUAUAUUUUAUUUUGCCAGUCCGUUUGUCAUCUCUUAAAAGCCUGUUUUUUCCAACAAGAAACCAAAAGAGUACAUCUGGAGUGGAGUGGGUGACUGGAAGGAAUAGAGGGAAGAGAAACUGUAAUGAGGAUAUAUUGUAUGAGAAAAUAAUCUAUUUUCAAGGAAAGGAAGAAAAUAAAGACACAGAAAGAAACCAAA